UUAAGUUCAGGAUAAAGACUUUGCCGGUAAAAAUUCACAGUAGAGUCAUUAUGAAAUAAUUCCUAAUAUCUAGCUCCCUGAGAGUGUUUUGCCUUAUUACCAUGGCACGUAUUACUCUCAAAGUGAUUUCAUUCUCUUUGUUCUGUUUAUAUUAUAGCUCACUUGACAGAUUCAAACACGAAUAAAUCAAGGUCUGUUACCUGUGCUAAGAGAGACCUUGGGGAAUUCUAUCCUUACAAAUUAUAAUCCAUGUGUCUGGCUAUGGAGAAUAAAAAUCCCAGCAAACCAACUAUUGGUUCUUUAAUAUGAGUACGAGAUGGAAUCACUGGACUUUGAAAAUACUGUGUUUAUUAGCCCCGGGUGUUUCCUGACAAAGACAGGUGCUAAGGAUGGGAAACAACUUUGUUUAAAGUAUUUGGCUACUCUCAUACAGUGCAACAAGCAUGAAGAUCUCUUAUUUUCUAGACGCUUUGGCAACCAUAACUAGUCAUACCAAAAAUGUUGUUCAGAGUUCCAAGUAAUAUUAUCAAAAGGAUUCACUUUUAAAUGCGCACACACAGAGGCUGACAAGUGGGUAACUGGAAGCCUGCCUGUGUCUGGGAAACUAGGUAGAGUAUUCAUAAUACAAAAUGGUCCUUCACAAUUCUUUUUUUUUCUUUAAAGAAAAACCCAUUCAUCUUGACUUUCUGCUGAUGUGCUGUUGCAUUGAGGCCCUUUUUCACAGGUCUUGAAGAUAAUUUAUCUGAAAUUAAUUAAACUAUUUGUCUGAAAUUAAAAUAGGCAGCCUGCCUCCUGGAGGCACAGUUUGGGAAAGGUGUCCACCAUAGAGUACUACCUUUAGCAGGGCCAAUGUUUCUGUGAAGGCUUAGGUCUAUAUCCAGACCAAUAUCAGGGACUUGCAUUCUUCUAGGUUGGAACCUAGAAAUUCAGAAAAUUCUAUGAGUUUUUGAAUUAGUCAUAAGAAUUGUGAUGUAGAUGGGGGUCGCCUUAACUGGCUAAUGACUAGGAAACUUGUCAAUAUUAGUUUUCUUCUGAAUCAAUUCUUCUGAUCUGGCUGUAGAUGGAACCCAUCUUUCUACAUUAUAAAUUAUGCCUUAUUGUAAAAUCUACAACAGAAGGUACAGACAUUUAAAGCCAUGUAAUCUGUUCCUCUGACAGUAAAGGCCAGUUCUGUAAUGCUGUCUUUGGUAUUGCAACCUUUGAAAAUAAGAAACCCAAUUCACUAACAUGUAGAGUAAUUCUCAAGAGGGUUUAUUUUCUGAACCCGUAGAUUUACUAAUCAAAUAAAUUGCUACUCUUAGUUAAGUUUCCUGAUCCU
rnacentral:lncRNA from 12 species